rnacentral:rRNA from 1 species
CAGCCGCCACGGUAAUACGGAGGGUGCAAGCGUUAUCCGGAUUUAUUGGGUUUAAAGGGUCCGUAGGCGGAUCUGUAAGUCAGUGGUGAAAUCUCACAGCUUAACUGUGAAACUGCCAUUGAUACUGCAGGUCUUGAGUAAAUUUGAAGUGGCUGGAAUAAGUAGUGUAGCGGUGAAAUGCAUAGAUAUUACUUAGAACACCAAUUGCGAAGGCAGGUCACUAAGAUUUAACUGACGCUGAUGGACGAAAGCGUGGGGAGCGAACAGGAUUAGAGACCCCCGUAGUCCCUGUCUCUUAUAC